AGACGUCUACAUUAGAUACCCGUGUAGUCCCAGCCGUAAACUAUGCGCGUUAGGUGUAUCGGUGACCACGAGUCACCGAGGUGCCGAAGGGAAACCGUGAAACGUGCCGCCUGGGAAGUACGGUCGCAAGGCUGAAACUUAAAGGAAUUGGCGGGGAGCACCACAACGGGUGGAGCCUGCGGUUUAAUUGGACUCAACGCCGGGAAGCUCACCGGAUAAGACAGCGGAAUGAUUGCCGGGCUGAAGACUCUGCAUGACUAGCUG
rnacentral:rRNA from 1 species